rnacentral:lncRNA from 1 species
AUUUGAUAUUGUAAAUACUGGUGGACAUUUUAAACAAAUUUUAAAACUUCCUCAAUAAAAUUAUUUAUUUUAGUUUAAGUUUAUGGAAGUGUAUAUAAUUCCAAGACGGAUGCAAACGGACGAUUAAUUAUGAUUUUGAAAGAAUUUCUCAACAGCUGAAAAAGUCACGCUUCUUUUUAUUUCUAAAAGGACAGGUUAAAUCGGAAACAAAUUGUGUUACAUCCUCAUACAUUUUCAUAGUGACCACAUGCCUUCGUGUGAAUCAACCAAAUGUUGCACAUGUUUGUUCUUUUGUGAAAAAUUCUAUUAAAUAUGAAAAGGGCGGGACACCAGCUUGGACAGGUGCUGCGUGAUGCUAUUCGUCUGUCGCGCGCUGGCCACGAGCUUCUUUGUUCGUUUAAGUUUAUGAAAAUUGAUAUUGAUUUCACUUUAGAAUGACUCUUAAAUUAUUUAUUUUGUAAAAAUGAAAGCUUAGUAAUAGUUUAUGAUUCAUGAUUGGAUAAAAAUGAAAAUUAUUCG